rnacentral:rRNA from 1 species
GAUGAACGCUGGCGGCGUGCCUAAUACAUGCAAGUCGAGCGAACAGACGAGGAGCUUGCUCCUCUGACGUUAGCGGCGGACGGGUGAGUAACACGUGGAUAACCUACCUAUAAGGCUGGGAUAACUUCGGGAAACCGGAGCUAAUACCGGAUAAUAUAUUGAACCGCAUGGUUCAAUAGUGAAAGACAGUUUUGCUGUCACUUAUAGAUGGAUCCGCGCCGCAUUAGCUAGUUGGUAAGGUAACGGCUUACCAAGGCAACGAUGCGUAGCCGACCUGAGAGGGUGAUCGGCCACACUGGAACUGAGACACGGUCCAGACUCCUACGGGAGGCAGCAGUAGGGAAUCUUCCGCAAUGGGCGAAAGCCCGACGGAGCAACGCCGCGUGAGUGAUGAAGGUCUUCGGAUCGUAAAACUCUGUUAUUAGGGAAGAACAAAUGUGUAAGUAACUAUGCACGUCUUGACGGUACCUAAUCAGAAGGCCACGGCUAACUACGUG